rnacentral:miRNA from 1 species
UGGUUCUAGACUUGCCAAC